UGAAGUUGCGGCGGCUAUACAUGCAAGUAGAACGCUGAAGAGAGGAGCUUGCUCUUCUUGGAUGAGUUGCGAACGGGUGAGUAACGCGUAGGUAACCUGCCUUGUAGCGGGGGAUAACUAUUGGAAACGAUAGCUAAUACCGCAUAACAAUGGAUGACACAUGUCAUUUAUUUGAAAGGGGCAAUUGCUCCACUACAAGAUGGACCUGCGUUGUAUUAGCUAGUAGGUGAGGUAACGGCUCACCUAGGCGACGAUACAUAGCCGACCUGAGAGGGUGAUCGGCCACACUGGGACUGAGACACGGCCCAGACUCCUACGGGAGGCAGCAGUAGGGAAUCUUCGGCAAUGGGGGCAACCCUGACCGAGCAACGCCGCGUGAGUGAAGAAGGUUUUCGGAUCGUAAAGCUCUGUUGUAAGUCAAGAACGAGUGUGAGAGUGGAAAGUUCACACUGUGACGGUAGCUUACCAGAAAGGGACGGCUAACUACGUGCCAGCAGCCGCGGUAAUACGUAGGUCCCGAGCGUUGUCCGGAUUUAUUGGGCGUAAAGCGAGCGCAGGCGGUUUGAUAAGUCUGAAGUUAAAGGCUGUGGCUCAACCAUAGUUCGCUUUGGAAACUGUCAAACUUGAGUGCAGAAGGGGAGAGUGGAAUUCCAUGUGUAGCGGUGAAAUGCGUAGAUAUAUGGAGGAACACCGGUGGCGAAAGCGGCUCUCUGGUCUGUAACUGACGCUGAGGCUCGAAAGCGUGGGGAGCGAACAGGAUUAGAUACCCUGGUAGUCCACGCCGUAAACGAUGAGUGCUAGGUGUUGGAUCCUUUCCGGGAUUCAGUGCCGCAGCUAACGCAUUAAGCACUCCGCCUGGGGAGUACGACCGCAAGGUUGAAACUCAAAGGAAUUGACGGGGGCCCGCACAAGCGGUGGAGCAUGUGGUUUAAUUCGAAGCAACGCGAGAACCUUACCAGGUCUUGACAUCCCGAUGCUAUUUCUAGAGAUAGAAAGUUACUUCGGUACAUCGGUGACAGGUGGUGCAUGGUUGUCGUCA
rnacentral:rRNA from 1 species